GCACAUAGAUGUUGAGGCCAGCAAUGGGGUUCAGCCUGCUCUCGCUGUGUGGAUCAGCCGCUGAUGGGCGGCGCCCAGUGCGGCCGCGGCGUGGGUAAGGGUACUCCUGCGAGCCGCCUAGAACUGGUCUGGCGGAAUCCUCGCCCUCGUCUGGCUUGCCAAGAUCAUUAUAGUAGGCAUAACGGUACACACGGUGGUGUUCCUUGAGUUCGCAGUUAAUAUUGUCACCUCUUAGCUGCACAAGCUCGUCCUUUCUGUAUGCGCGAAGUGGCUCUGGAGUACUGCUUGGGAGGUAGGUAUUGUUGGUGAAGAAGACCCGGCUGCUCUUGUAGACCUCCACAGGAUACACCCAGGAGUAACAAUUGAAGUAAAUCGGGCCUUGGGCCAGAUCCUGACCUUUUCCGUUCAAGUCAAGGAGGGUGAUACUCUUCAAGUAGAACUCGUUGGGGUGGUGGUUGUUCACGAUCACCGCUCCUGGGGCGCCCAUGUCUUCGCCCCACUUGAACUUGAUAUUGAAGUGCAACUCUCCAGCCGCCAGCGACGGCAAAGUCGUAAUCCAGUCCUCGAGGUUUGCCUUCUCCCCCACUUUCCCCCUGCCGGUCUUUGGGUCGGAGAUGGUGGCACUGACAAGUUGGAAAGAGAGUCCUUGCUCGAGGAACGGGAUGAUAUUGCCAAUGGACUCGGAGACGUCGUCGGCAAUGGCUGCUGUGUGGUCGUUGAGGUCAAGUACGUUCUUCUUCAUCAAUACCACCAAGCCAUGGACGGUCUCGGUCUUCUGCCCCCCAAAGCCCUCUAAGAUAUCGUUGAAGAUCAUCUUUCAAGGUGAGACAACGGAAGAUGAAAGGAGGAGGAGAGUGAUGGUGGCAGUGGAUGUCGAGUCGGUGUUGU
rnacentral:misc_RNA from 1 species